GUAUAGUAUCCCGCAAGGGAAGUGAACCCGGUGAACUGAAACAUCUAAGUAGCCGGAGGAAGAGAAAACAAAAGUGAUUCCGGGAGUAGUGGCGAGCGAAACCGGAUUAGCCCAAACCAGUGUUGUUUCGGCAAUACUGGGGUUGUAGGACCACGACAUUGAUUGCGUAAUGAAUUAGAACACUUUGGAAAGAGUGACCGAAGAGGGUGAUAGUCCCGUACAAGUAAAGAGCGUUAAUUAUAGUGGUAUCCUGAGUAGUGCGGGGCACGUGAAACCCUGUAUGAAUCAAGCGGGACCAUCCGUUAAGGCUAAAUACUCCUGAGAGACCGAUAGUGAACCAGUACCGUGAGGGAAAGGUGAAAAGAACCCUGAAUAAGGGAGUGAAAAAGAUCCUGAAACCAUACGCUUACAAGCGGCCGGAGCCCGUAAGGGGUGACGGCGUGCCUUUUGCAUAAUGAGCCUACGAGUUACUUUUACUAGCAAGGUUAAGCACUUCAGGUGCGGAUCCGUAGCGAAAGCGAGUCUGAAUAGGGCGACCAUAGUUAGUAGUAGUAGACGCGAAACCGUGUGAUCUACCCAUGGGCAGGUUGAAGCUUUGUUAACCC
rnacentral:rRNA from 1 species